GUGGGGAAUUUUGGACAAUGGGGGAAACCCUGAUCCAGCAAUGCCGCGUGUGUGACGAAGGCCUUCGGGUUGUAAAGCACUUUUGGCGGGAACGAAACGGCGUUUUCUAAUACAGAGCGCUAAUGACGGUACCCGCAGAAUAAGCACCGGCUAACUACGUGCCAGCAGCCGCGGUAAUACGUAGGGUGCAAGCGUUAAUCGGAAUUACUGGGCGUAAAGCGUGCGCAGGCGGUUUCGUAAGACAGAUGUGAAAGCCCCGGGCUCAACCUGGGAAGUGCAUUUGUGACUGCGAGACUAGAGUGUGUCAGAGGGAGGUAGAAUUCCACGUGUAGCAGUGAAAUGCGUAGAGAUGUGGAGGAAUACCGAUGGCGAAGGCAGCCUCCUGGGAUAACACUGACGCUCAUGCACGAAAGCGUGGGGAGCAAACAGGAUUAGAAACCCCGGUAGUCC
rnacentral:rRNA from 1 species